GCGGCUAUAGCUCAGCUGGAUAGAGCGUAGGUUUGCGGAACCUAAGGUCAGGAGUUCGAAUCUCUUUAGCCGCGCCA
rnacentral:tRNA from 1 species